CCUACGGGCGGCUGCAGUGGGGAAUAUUGCACAAUGGGCGCAAGCCUGAUGCAGCCAUGCCGCGUGUAUGAAGAAGGCCUUCGGGUUGUAAAGUACUUUCAGUCGUGAGGAAGGUGUUAAGGUUAAUAACCUUAGCAAUUGACGUUAGCGACAGAAGAAGCACCGGCUAACUCCGUGCCAGCAGCCGCGGUAAUACGGAGGGUGCGAGCGUUAAUCGGAAUUACUGGGCGUAAAGGGCACGCAGGCGGUUAGUUAAGUUGGAUGUGAAAUCCCCGGUCUUAACCUGGGGAUGACAUUCGAGACUGGUUAGCUAGAGUCUUGUAGGGGGGGGUAGAAUGCCAUGGGUAGCGGUGAAAUGCGUAGAGAUGUGGAGGAAUACCGGUGGCGAAGGCGGCCCCCUGGACAGAGACUGACGCUCAUGUGCGAAAGCGUGAGGAGCAAACAGGAUUAGAUACCCGUGUAGUC
rnacentral:rRNA from 1 species